rnacentral:rRNA from 1 species
UACGUAGGGGGCAAGCGUUGUCCGGAAUCAUUGGGCGUAAAGAGCGUGUAGGCGGCCCGAUAAGUCCGCCGUGAAAGUCCAGGGCUCAACCCUGGAAUGCCGGUGGAAACUGUCGGGCUGGAGUCCGGAAGAGGCGAGUGGAAUCCUGGUGUAGCGGUGAAAUGCGCAGAUAGUCAGGAGGAACACCAAUGGCGAAGGCAGCUCGCUGGGACGGUACUGACGCUGGAGACGCGAAAGCGUGGGGAGCAAACAGG